GGGAAAGUUGCAAAGAACUUUGAAGAGAGAGUUCAAGAGGGCGUGAAACCGCUUAGAAGCAAACGGAUGGACCUGACGUUGAGUCAGCGGAAUUCAGCUNGCCGCGUUACCUCAGCCUGGUGCUUGAUCAAAUGACUAAGUUGCUGGGUACUGGUGUGGCCGGUGAGUGCAUUUUCUGUUGAUGCGCACUGGAACCUGUGUCAGCGCUGGAGUCAAGGUUGUGGAUGCCGGCCAGCUUAUGUUGGUGUCCCUCCACUUCCCGAAACCGGGUCGCUGGCACAGGAACUAGGAAGACACUCGCCUCUACUCGACUGCGUGGUGGGCCUUGCCAAUUGAACUGUGGUGUUAUGCUCGCAUGAUUCCGCGAUGCCUGGCUUGGUGUGCUGCGUUGUUCGAGUCAGUGUCCUAUUCUGGUGUUUUAGUCAGUCACCCAUCUGACCCGUCUUGAAACACGGACCAAGGAGUCUAACAUGUGCGCGAGUCACUGGGUUGCAACACCCAAGGGCGCAAUGAAAGUGAAGUCCAGUUCGGCUGGCUGACAUGGGACCCUUUGCUUGUCAGAGGUGCACCAUGGUCCCGUCNGUACUGCAUUGUCAGUAGGGCGGAGAUUGAGCGUACACGUUGGGACCCGAAAGAUGGUGAACUAUGCCUGAGCAGGAUGAAGCCAGAGGAAACUCUGGUGGAGGUCCAUAGCGAUUCUGACGUGCAAAUCGAUCGUCGGACUUGGGUAUAGGGGCGAAAGACUAAUCGAACCAUCUAGUAGCU
rnacentral:rRNA from 1 species